rnacentral:lncRNA from 1 species
GGAGAGGAUGAUUUUGCCGCCGCCGUUGGGGCCGACGAUAAAGGUUAAAGGGUUGAAGAAGGUGAUGUCGUGCUCUCUCUGGGAGAAGCCAUGGAGACUUAGGCAUGGUCCUUGCUGUUGCAGGCGGAAGAGAGGAAGAGACCCGUUGCUUGAUGGGCUCCAAGAGCCUGACGGCGAUGUCGAAACCAUUGUUGGCCCAAAAACCAUUGUUGUGGUGGAGUGGGCCU